ACUCAACACUAACAAAUUAAAAUGGGUGAAUCAUCGUUUCUAAAGCAAGCUGUCCAGAACAGAUCCUUGAACAACGAGUUAACUCAAAACUUGUCUUUACGAGUUU
rfam:Flavobacterium sp. 40-81 scnpilot_p_inoc_scaffold_87, whole genome shotgun sequence.